rnacentral:rRNA from 1 species
UACGUAGGUGGCGAGCGUUAUCCGGAAUUAUUUGGCGUAAAGAGCUUGUAGGCGGUUUGUCGCGUCUGCUGUGAAAAUCCGGGGCUCAACCCCGGACUUGCAGUGGGUACGGGCAGACUAGAGUGUGGUAGGGGAGACUGGAAUUCCUGGUGUAGCGGUGAAAUGCGCAGAUAUCAGGAGGAACACCGACGGCGAAGGCAGGUCUCUGGGCCACUACUGACGCUGAGGAGCGAAAGCAUGGGUAGCGAACAGGAUUAGAUACCCCGGUA